ensembl:lncRNA
UGUGAACAGCAGCACCUGUGUGUCGGUGUGGGAUAAAUGAGCAGUGCUGUGAUACUCUCCUGGAUCUGAUCUCUCCACUGGGACCCUCAGGACUGACGCAGCGACCCCGCUUAAGCCACCAGCUUUCUGUCAGAAAGCAUUUUUCUGUGAGUCCAACCAUCUUGAAACUGGUGUCUGGCAACUGUGCAGGCAUUUGAGCAGGUCCAGAGAAGGAGACAGAAAAUGGAGAGGCCGAGCAACAUCACUGACCAUAUACAGAGAGAGCUGUGAAAUCCCAUCAUGAAUAUUUAUGAAGACGUGACCCGGGGCAGGAUGUGGGGCGAGUGCUAUCCCAGCAUGCCCUGCUGUGAGAGAAGCUGAUCAGAACAUCUUUAUUCUGAGCUGCAAAAUGGUGACUGGUCCUCGUCGACGCUUCCAAGAACUUGGAAAGACAAUGGUGAGACAGCCUAAGAAAACACGGAGACCUGAAAUGUGUAAUCAGGAAAGCCCUGGUUGCAUUAGGGAAAUAAUGACUGUGUUGAAUCUAGUGAGCUGGCCGUCUAAAAUGCACGUGUGAAGAUGUGUUCAGAUGUCUUGAUUAUGAGGCAUGUAUGAAUGCAUUGUGGCAAGAGCCUGGAAAAAAUGUCUCCAGUAUGGAGUAGUGAGAAAUGUUUAUUUAUAGUAACAUUUUAAUUCUAUACUGGAAAAUAUUGAUAAAAUAUUGUGUGAUUUUCAAAUGUUAUCAGAACUUUAGUCAGAUUUAACAUUAUUCAAAUCUGAGUUUAAAAAAAAUGUACUCCAUACAUGUUUCAUGUUUUUGUUUUUCAGAAGUGAAUUAAAGAUUUAAUUUAAGAUUUUUUU